ACAGCAGCCUCCGCAGCCCAGCAUGGCGAAGGCAGCCGCAGGGCUCUGCACCCUCCUCCUCCUCGCUGUGCUGUGCUGCGAGAGCCAGGCUCAGAGAGCCCCAGCCGUGCCGGACAAGUGUUGCUUCAACUUCCAGAUGAGAAGGAUCAAGAGAGACAACAUCGUCGCCUGCUACCCCACCAGCCCUGAGUGCCCCCACCAGGCUGUGAUCUUCAGGGUGAGGAGCGGGAAGGAGAUCUGCACCCAGGCGAGCAGGGCCUGGGUGAAGAAGUACCAGCAGAGCUUCCCAGUCAGCUCCUUCUCCAUUCCCAGCUAGUGAGGUGGCCGGAGGCAGCACGAGGAGUCCCUUCCAUGGGGGACAGGACACUGCGAAGGUCACCCCUUAGCAGAGGUGGCUGCGGGGACACCACGUUUGGGUAUAGCAGCUCACUGGGGACAUCCUUCCCAUCAUGUUAUGACAACCAUCAUCAUCUUUCCAAAGGCAAAGGGCAGCAUCCCACUGGGAUGGGGUGUGCUGACUCCGUGGGGCAUUGGGGUCCAGCCCUGCUGCCAGCCCCAUGCUCUCAGCCCUGCUUGGCAUGCAGGCAGCUGCCUGUACCUCUCACAGGCAGCAGCAGCAUGUCAAGGCUGUGCUCACUGGCCUGGCAGCAGCAGAGGGGUUAAGGGGGAGCAGCUCCAUGCUUAUAUUUUGUACAACACACAGAAGAGAAUUAAAUGUGAUCUCAUGCAUGCAAA
rnacentral:lncRNA from 1 species